CAGUAGCCGCGGUAAUACGUAGGGUGCAAGCGUUAAUCGGAAUUACUGGGCGUAAAGCGUGCGCAGGCGGUUUCGUAGGACAGAUGUGAAAUCCCCGGGCUUAACCUGGGAACUGCAUUUGUGACUGCGAGGCUAGAGUGUGUCAGAGGGGGGUGGAAUUCCACGUGUAGCAGUGAAAUGCGUAGAUAUGUGGAGGAACACCGAUGGCGAAGGCAGCCCCCUGGGAGAACACUGACGCUCAUGCACGAAAGCGUGGGGAGCAAACAGGAUUAGAUACCCCCGUAGUCCCUGUCUCUUAUAC
rnacentral:rRNA from 1 species